rnacentral:rRNA from 1 species
GAUGAACGCUGGCGGCGUGCCUAAUACAUGCAAGUCGAGCGAACAGAUAAGGAGCUUGCUCCUUUGACGUUAGCGGCGGACGGGUGAGUAACACGUGGAUAACCUACCUAUAAGACUGGGAUAACUUCGGGAAACCGGAGCUAAUACCGGAUAACAUAUUGAACCGCAUGGUUCAAUAGUGAAAGGCGGCUUUGCUGUCACUUAUAGAUGGAUCCGCGCCGUAUUAGCUAGUUGGUAAGGUAACGGCUUACCAAGGCAACGAUACGUAGCCGACCUGAGAGGGUGAUCGGCCACACUGGAACUGAGACACGGUCCAGACUCCUACGGGAGGCAGCAGUAGGGAAUCUUCCGCAAUGGGCGAAAGCCUGACGGAGCAACGCCGCGUGAGUGAUGAAGGUCUUCGGAUCGUAAAACUCUGUUAUCAGGGAAGAACAAAUGUGUAAGUAACUGUGCACAUCUUGACGGUACCUGAUCAGAAAGCCACGGCUAACUACGUGCCAGCAGCCGCGGUAAUACGUAGGUGGCAAGCGUUAUCCGGAAUUAUUGGGCGUAAAGCGCGCGUAGGCGGUUUUUUAAGUCUGAUGUGAAAGCCCACGGCUCAACCGUGGAGGGUCAUUGGAAACUGGAAAACUUGAGUGCAGAAGAGGAAAGUGGAAUUCCAUGUGUAGCGGUGAAAUGCGCAGAGAUAUGGAGGAACACCAGUGGCGAAGGCGACUUUCUGGUCUGUAACUGACGCUGAUGUGCGAAAGCGUGGGGAUCAAACAGGAUUAGAUACCCUGGUAGUCCACGCCGUAAACGAUGAGUGCUAAGUGUUAGGGGGUUUCCGCCCCUUAGUGCUGCAGCUAACGCAUUAAGCACUCCGCCUGGGAGUACGACCGCAAGGUUGAAACUCAAAGGAAUUGACGGGGACCCGCACAAGCGGUGGAGCAUGUGGUUUAAUUCGAAGCAACGCGAAGAACCUUACCAAAUCUUGACAUCCUUUGACCACUCUAGAGAUAGAGUUUUCCCCUUCGGAGGACAAAGUGACAGGUGGUGCAUGGUUGUCGUCAGCUCGUGUCCUGAGAUGUUGGGUUAAGUCCCGCAACGAGCGCAACCCUUAAGCUUAGUUGCCAUCAUUAAGUUGGGCACUCUAAGUUGACUGCCGGUGACAAACCGGAGGAAGGUGGGGAUGACGUCAAAUCAUCAUGCCCCUUAUGAUUUGGGCUACACACGUGCUACAAUGGACAAUACAAAGGGCAGCUAAACCGCGAGGUCAAGCAAAUCCCAUAAAGUUGUUCUCAGUUCGGAUUGUAGUCUGCAACUCGACUACAUGAAGCUGGAAUCGCUAGUAAUCGUAGAUCAGCAUGCUACGGUGAAUACGUUCCCGGGUCU